CUCCAGGGCAACCGUGGCUUUCGAUUGUUACUGUGGGAACUGGAGGUAACAGUCUACAGCCAUGGUCGCCCCGCAGCA
rfam:Pan troglodytes isolate Yerkes chimp pedigree #C0471 (Clint) chromosome 17, whole genome shotgun sequence.